CCAAUCGAACGUGGAGAUAGCUGGUUCUCCCCGAAAUAGCUUUAGGGCUAGCCUCAUGGUAAGAGUACAGGCGGUAGAGCACUGAACGAGGUAGGGGCCUGUCCGGCUACCGAACUUAAUCAAACUGCGAAUGGCUGUACUUAUACAUGGGAGUCAGACUGCGAGUAAUAAGGCCCGUAGUCAAGAGGGAAACAGCCCAGACCAACAGCUAAGGUCCCCAAUGCCGUACUAAGUGGCGAAGGAUGUGGAAUUUCGAAAACAACCAGGAUGUUGGCUUAGAAGCAGCCACCAUUAAAAGAGUGCGUAAUAGCUCACUGGUCGAGAGACUCUGCGCCGAAGAUGACCGGGGCUAAAGUACGGAACCGAAGCUUUGGCAAGUAUCUUGAGAUACUUGGGUAGGGGAGCGUUCCUGCAUGGGAGAAGCCUGACCGGAAGGACAGGUGGACAGGCAGGAAGAGAGAAUGCCGGUAUGAGUAGCGAAAAGAAAGGUGAGAAUCCUUUCCACCGAAAGCCUAAGGGUUCCUGGGCAACGAUCGUCGACCCAGGGUAAGUCGGGACCUAAUCCGAGGCGGAGACGCGUAGGAGAUGGACAACAGGUUGAAAAUCCUGUACCGCAGGAGUCUGUUUGAGCGAAGGAGUGACACAGAAAGGAAUGCGCGCGUGCGAUUGGAAGAGCACGUCCAAGCUGGUAGGUUGUGUGGCAGGCAAAUCCGCCAUACUAAAAGCCGAGAAGUGAUGGGGAGCCAUUGGAGACAAUGGCGAAGGGGCAGGAACUAGGCUGUCGAGAAAAGCUUCUAGUGAGGACUCAGGCGCCCGUACCGAAACCGACACAGGUAGGCAGGAAGAGAAUUCUAAGGUGCGCGGGAAAACCCUCGUUAAGGAACUCGGCAAAAUGUAUCCGUAACUUCGGGAAAAGGAUAGCCUAAAGUAUGUGAGCUGCAGAAACGCAGGGAGCAGGAAUAGGCGGCAGAAGAGAGGCCCAAGCGACUGUUUACCACAAACACAGGCGUCUGCUAAAGCGAAAGCUGACGUAUAGAUGCUGACACCUGCCCGGUGCUGGAAGGUUAAGAGGACGUGUUAGCCGAAAGGCGAAGCAGAGAAUUGAAGCCCCAGUAAACGGCGGCCGUAACUAUAACGGUCCUAAGGUAGCGAAAUUCCUUGUCGGGUAAGUUCCGACCCGCACGAAAGGUGUAACGAUUUGGGCACUGUCUCAACGAGGGACCCGGUGAAAUUGAAGUACCUGUGAAGAUGCAGGUUACCCGCGACUGGACAGAAAGACCCCAUGGAGCUUUACUGUAACCUGAGAUUGGAUUCCGGUAAGAGAUGUACAGGAUAGUUGGGAGGCUGAGAAACGGGUACGCCAGUAUCCGCAGAGCCGCUGGUGGGAUACCAACCUUGUUUUAUUGGGAUUCUAACGAGAGACGUAACGAGUCUUUGGACAGUCUCAGGCGGGCAGUUUGACUGGGGCGGUCGCCUCCGAAAGAGCAACGGAGGCGCCCAAAGGUUCCCUCAGCGCGGACGGAAACCGCGCGAAGAGUGUAAAGGCAGAAGGGAGCUUGACUGCGAGACGGACAGGUCGAGCAGGGACGAAAGUCGGGCUUAGUGAUCCGGUGGUAGAGAGUGGAAUUGCCAUCGCUCAACGGAUAAAAGCUACCCUGGGGAUAACAGGCUUAUCUCUCCCAAGAGUCCAUAUCGACGGGGAGGUUUGGCACCUCGAUGUCGGCUCAUCACAUCCUGGGGCUGAAGUAGGUCCCAAGGGUUGGGCUGUUCGCCCAUUAAAGUGGUACGCGAGCUGGGUUCAGAACGUCGUGAGACAGUUCGGUCCCUAUCCAUCGCGGGCGGAAGAAACUUGAAAGGGGCUGCUCCUAGUACGAGAGGACCGGAGUGGACGGACCAAUGGUGUACCAGUCAUGGCGCCAGCCGUGCAGCUGGGUAGCUACGUCCGGGACGGAUAAACGCUGAAAGCAUCUAAGCGUGAAACCAGCCUAAAGAUGAGGUUUCUCAUUGUGAAAGCAAGUAAGGUCCCAUGAAGACGACAUGGUAGAUAGGCCGGGAGUGGAAGUGCAGUGAUGCACGGAGCGGACCGGUACUAAUAGACCGAGGGCUUGACUUA
rnacentral:rRNA from 1 species